rnacentral:rRNA from 1 species
GACGAACGCUGGCGGCGUGCUUAACACAUGCAAGUCGAACGGAAAGGCCCUGCUUUUGUGGGGUGCUCGAGUGGCGAACGGGUGAGUAACACGUGAGUAACCUGCCCUUGACUUUGGGAUAACUUCAGGAAACUGGGGCUAAUACCGGAUAGGAGCUCCUGCUGCAUGGUGGGGGUUGGAAAGUUUCGGCGGUUGGGGAUGGACUCGCGGCUUAUCAGCUUGUUGGUGGGGUAGUGGCUUACCAAGGCUUUGACGGGUAGCCGGCCUGAGAGGGUGACCGGCCACAUUGGGACUGAGAUACGGCCCAGACUCCUACGGGAGGCAGCAGUGGGGAAUAUUGCACAAUGGGCGGAAGCCUGAUGCAGCAACGCCGUGUGCGGGAUGACGGCCUUCGGGUUGUAAACCGCUUUCGCCUGUGACGAAGCGUGAGUGAUGGUAAUGGGUAAAGAAGCACCGGCUAACUACGUG